UACGGAGGGGGCUAGCGUUGUUCGGAAUUACUGGGCGUAAAGCGCACGUAGGCGGCUUUGCAAGUUAGAGGUGAAAGCCCGGGGCUCAACUCCGGAAUUGCCUUUAAAACUGCAUCGCUAGAAUUGUGGAGAGGUAAGUGGAAUUCCGAGUGUAGAGGUGAAAUUCGUAGAUAUUCGGAGGAACACCAGUGGCGAAGGCGACUGCCUGGACAAAGACUGACGCUGAGGUGCGAAAGCGUGGGGAGCAAACAGG
rnacentral:rRNA from 1 species